AUGCAUGUCUAAGUACACGCCUUUACACGGCAAAACUGCGAAUGGCUCAUUAAAUCAGUUAUGGUUCCUUAGAUCGUACAAUCCUACUUGGAUAACUGUGGCAAUUCUAGAGCUAAUACAUGCAACACAGCUCCGACCCUUGCGGGGAAGAGCGCUUUUGUUAGCCCAAAACCAACGCGGCGGUCGUUCACGCGGCCGUCGCAACAUAUGUGGUGACUCUGAACAACUUUGUGCCGAUCGCACGGCCUUAGCGCCGGCGACGAAUCUUUCAAGUGUCUGCCCUAUCAACUUUCGAUGGUACGUGCUAUGCCUACCAUGGUGAUAACGGGUAAC
rnacentral:rRNA from 1 species